rnacentral:rRNA from 1 species
UAGUCCACGCCCUAAACGAUGCUUACUCGGCAUUGGCGAUAUGACAGUCAGUGCCUAAGGGAAACCACUAAGUAAGCCACCUGGGGAGUACGUUCGCAAGAAUGAAACUCAAUGGAAUUGACGGGGGCCCGCACAAGCGGUGGAGCAUGUGGUUUAAUUCGAUGAUACGCGAGGAACCUUACCAGGGCUUAAAUGUAGAUUGCAUUAGUUAGAGAUAGCUAUUUCUUCGGACUAUCUACAAGGUGCUGCAUGGUUGUCGUCAGCUCGUGCCGUGAGGUGUCAGGUUAAGUCCUAUAACGAGCGCAACCCCUGUUGUUAGUUGCCAGCAUGUAAAGAUGGGAACUCUAACAAGACUGCCGGUGCAAACCGUGAGGAAGGGUGGGGAUGACGUCAAAUCAUCACGGGCCCUUACGUCCUGGGGCUACACACGUGCUACAAUGGUAGGGGACAGAGAGCAGCCACUUCGCGAGAAGGGAGC